UUGGUAGUUUCUUUAUAAUCAUCUCGAAUAAGCUUAGUAGUAGUAAUUCCCUCACAUUGACAAAAGUAUUCCCACAGAUCAAAACACAUUUGAAACCUGAAAUCCUUAAUGCUGUACCGAAAAAAUAUACGAACCUGCUAGCAUGUUUGGCAUCAUCUGCAUUUUCUAUGGUACACACUAGACUCUCUUGAUCACCAUUCUCGUCUUUUGAGAUGACUAAGUUUUUUAUCUUUUCACAUUCAGAUAACUCCUCCUCAAAGGAUUUCUCGUGUGACUUCUGGAUCCAAAUUCUUCAUGAACAGAUUUGUAUACGUGGCUUCAUGACUGCGCACAGUUAUUGUUAUUACCUUCAUUAAUGGAAAAAAUACAAUUUAGAGUCCUUGGACAAUAAUUCUUUCUAACGAGUAUUGGCGAUAAGGCAUAGACUAGUUCAUCAAUUCAACGCAAUAAAAAUGAGAUGAAUGAGCACAGUCAGACUACACAAACCACUAAUUCAGAAUGAUACAUCCUCUGCAGAACAGAGAUUUCAUCAAACACAUAGAGUCAUAAAGGACCUAAAAAAAUAUAGGUUAAUCUCAUAUUACACGUUCAAUUUCAACCUUUUUGCCACCCCAAUGAAGAACUUUUGUUCUCUGAUUAAAUUAAUAAAGGAACAUUUGCUAGAGCUAAUCAAAAUAAAAUUUCAGGUAUGUGAACUCAACUCCAAUUGUGAUGAAUUUUGACACCACUAAUAAAACAUACCGAUUUCAAGGCCCGCCUGUUUGGCUCGCGAAACGGGUCUGUCUGGGCCCGCGACCUGCUGAAUCGGGCUCACGAGUUUCUUUCA
rnacentral:lncRNA from 1 species